GUGUCAGCAGCCGCGGUAAUACGUAGGGAGCGAGCGUUGUCCGGAUUUAUUGGGCGUAAAGAGCUCGUAGGCGGCUUGGUAAGUCGGAUGUGAAAGCUCCAGGCUCAACCUGGAGUCGCCAUCCGAUACUGCCAUAGCUAGAGUCCGGUAGGGGCCCACGGAACUCCUGGUGUAGCGGUGAAAUGCGCAGAUAUCAGGAAGAACACCGGUGGCGAAGGCGGUGGGCUGGGCCGGUACUGACGCUGAGGAGCGAAAGCGUGGGGAGCGAACAGGAUUAGAAACCCCGGUGUCC
rnacentral:rRNA from 1 species